AUUGAACGCUGGCGGAAUGCUUUACACAUGCAAGUCGAACGAUAAAGCCUAGCUUGCUAGGUCGAUUAGUGGCGAACGGGUGAGUAAUAUAUCGGAACGUAUCCAAUAAUGGGGGAUAACUAGUCGAAAGAUUGGCUAAUACCGCAUACGUCCUACGGGAGAAAGCUGGGGAUCGUAAGACCUGGCGUUAAUGGAGCGGCCGAUAUCUGAUUAGCUAGUCGGUGAGGUAAAGGCUCACCAAGGCGACGAUCAGUAGCUGGUCUGAGAGGACGACCAGCCACACUGGAACUGAGACACGGUCCAGACUCCUACGGGAGGCAGCAGUGGGGAAUUUUGGACAAUGGGCGAAAGCCUGAUCCAGCCAUUCCGCGUGAGUGAAGAAGGCCUUCGGGUUGUAAAGCUCUUUCGCAAGGGAAGAACACUUACUUAAUAACACUAAGUGAGGUUGACGGUACCUUGAUAAGAAGCACCGGCUAACUACGUGCCAGCAGCCGCGGUAAUAC
rnacentral:rRNA from 1 species